CAUAAUCGACUUUGAAGAACUGACAUCGUUGAGCAUACUUGUUCUUAACCGUUUGCAAAGCUGUUCGACGUAUACAAUUUUCCAAUUUUAUAACUUUUCCAUGAGUACGUCGAACAUGAUGGCGAAAGGUAUCCAUGAUUGCAUGUACGAAUCCUGUUCCGUUUUUUGUGCACGGCACACACUCAUAUCCAUUUAAAAGUACUGGUAGUCCUCUGAUGUAUGGGUAUACAUGGGUUUGAGAAGAAUGAGUUUGUAAAACAUUUGUUGGACUUUUUAACUUUAAAGUCCUUAGUUCUUGAAACCACAAAAGAUCUUCGUUUAACUCUAGUUUAUGCACAAUUUGCAUAUGUU
rnacentral:lncRNA from 1 species